AAACGAAGUAAACACGUAAUGUGUGUUGCUAAUGUUGGGCCAUGUAAUAUGUAAUACAUUAACGUUUUAAUGAAUAGUCUAACGAUUUAUAGUCGUUGUACUCUAUUGUUAUAAUAUGUCUUUUUGACUGAAUACAUGUUUGUUUUAUUUGUCUAUAUCCUAGAUUCGCAGCUGGACACAUCCUUCUACACUGUAUGCAAACAUGCAACAUCAUAACACACAGUACAAGGAGUCAGACUGGCAUAUGAGGAGCAAAGGAACCCACGCAGUAGCAUCGUUUCACAAUGUUUCCAUCACCAUCAUCAGUGGAUGCCUUUGCCGUCCGUAGCCUGAGAUUUCAGAUUUGCAGCAAAAAAAUUUGAUUUUCUCAUUUAUUGGAAUGCUGUGCAGGUUGUACCUUGCAGCCAUCCAUUACAAUGUCACCAAGCCGUAACAAAAGCAGGAGAGGGAAAGUACAAGGCUAUGUUCCCAAAACACAAAUGACAUACCUUAUGUGGAUGAUGUGAUCAGGCUUGUGUUUGUUGAGGUAUUUGAAGAUAAGCUGAAGGAAACCCCGAUUCCAAUGGACCUGGCAUCACAGUUUGAGAGACCUUCAAAGGAGGACGUGAUUGCAUGCCAUCUUCAGUGCAGGGGUGGUCGAAAGCCAAAAUUGUGACCGAUCCGAUCAGGAAGCUCCAAGCAUAUCUGGAGAACAACACACAACAGGAUGAUAACCUUAUAGUGUCGUCUUAAAUAGCACCAGCUGACAAAGCUUUGAUAUGCCAUUUAUCUGAAUAGAUAGCUGUAAGAAAUGAAUUGAACAAUUUUUGAAA